UCCUGGUGGUUUUGUCUAUUGUCUAAUAGGAAGACCAAAGAGAGCAGAGCCCUGUAGUGAAGGUAUCUCAGCUACUGAGCAUCUCUCUUCUCCCGUGCAGAUGAAGUGAACUUGCUGGACAAAAUUACUUCCCAUGCCCAGGACCUCAGCAAUAUUUCCUUUGGCUAUGAUGAAGCCAACUGCAGCAUCCUGGAGAUCGGGCAGUACGCCACCCUCAACAUCCCCACGAGGGAGGCCUUUGGGGACAGGUUUGCAGACGAGCUGAGUGUGCUGAUGAAACUCAGGUACUCGCUGAAGGAGGACACCAGCCUAGUGACCAUCCUCAGCCAUCGGAGCCACGUGCUCUUCCAGAUCAGGAUUAACCCAUAUGCCUUGGUCUUUGUCACCACAAGGAGGAGACACUAUGAGUUCCCAGUUUCCUUUCUUGGCGACGGGCACUGGCACCAAGUUGCUCUCAGCAUCUCCUUGGAGAGGCUGGAGCUGCACGUGGACUGUCGGCUGGUGGACAGAGUGAGCUGGUCCAAUUAUUUUGGGAUGGGAGUGAACACCGAGGGGCUGAUCAUCGUUGGAGGCCUGAUUGAAUCCUUCGAGAUCCCCUUUAAGGGUGCUCUACAGCAACUGACCUUCGUGAUGGGAGACCCAGCAGCUGCUGGGGAGCACUGCCGCAGCUACAACUCAACCUGCACUCGCUCCUUCAACCUCAACCGCUUUGGUUCCCCAUGGCAGCUCUCACCAGCCUGGCCAGAGGUGCCGAAAGAAACCAAUGAAAUCCAGGCCUCGUCUGCUCAGGACCCCAGACUCACCAGUUCAGAUUUGGCCCUGGGGCCACCUUGGACGUGGGAGAAUGCCCAGGAGACCCUCAGCCUUCAGCCUGAUGGAGCCCUGAUUUCUCUCUCUCCUACCGAGAUGCCAUCGGCUGAGGAGGAGGAAGAGGGAAGCCUUUCUAUUGAGGAUGAAGGCUUUGAGCUGCUGAAUUCCACCUAUAAUAAAAUCACCGGCCCUGGCAGGCCAGGGUUUGGCAGGAGCAGCCCAUGGGUUGUUGAUAGCUCUGGUCCCUCCAUCAAAACACAAAGAGCAGCCAAGAAGGAGCGUGCCUCUGACCCCUGGGAGGAGAACGUCACCACAGAGAAGCUGACGGGUGACACAGGCACCCGGCGGCAGCUCUUGCCCAGCAAACCUGGCGAUGCCAUCACUGAUCUGGAUGUGCCUGCCACCUUCACCAAGGUCUCCCCAUCGGGACAUCAGGCAGCUGCCCCAAAAGGUCCACUGGGGACGGGGUCAGCGGUGGGUGUUCCGGAGUCUCCUCUGGUAGCACCCAGCCCUGCUGUCCCAGGGCUUGGGGACAGCGUUGCCCACCCAGGACAUCCCAUCCCACCAGUGGCACAUGGGCAGCAUGGUCAUGUGAAGCCAGGGCCACCAGGGCUGCCAGGACCACCAGGGCUGCCGGGCUGUCCUGGGAGACGUGGACUGGUGGGACCCAAAGGAGACAAAGGAUACCCCGGAGCCAUGGGGCGGACGGGCCCCCCAGGUGACCCAGGCCCUGUGGGCAUCCCUGGUGUCCCCACCAUCGUCCUCUGGAGGAACUCCAGGGAGGACUGGCAGACAUUCACGGUGAGUUAUGGCCACAGCGGGCGAGCGCUCGGGGAGCUCCUCUUGCACUUCCCAUGCAGGUACCGUUCUCCUCUGCUGGGAUGGGAGCUGGGAGGAAG
rnacentral:lncRNA from 1 species